UUGAACGCUGGCGGCAUGCUUUACCCCUGCCAGUCGCACGGCAGCGCGGGCUUCGGCCUGGCGGCGAGUGGCGAACGGGUGAGUAAUGCAUCGGAACGUGCCCAGUAGUGGGGGAUAGCCCGGCGAAAGCCGGAUUAAUACCGCAUACGACCUGAGGGUGAAAGCGGGGGACCGAAAGGCCUCGCGCUAUUGGAGCGGCCGAUGUCGGAUUAGCUAGUUGGUGGGGUAAAGGCUUACCAAGGCGACGAUCCGUAGCUGGUCUGAGAGGACGACCAGCCACACUGGGACUGAGACACGGCCCAGACUCCUACGGGAGGCAGCAGUGGGGAAUUUUGGACAAUGGGGGCAACCCUGAUCCAGCCAUGCCGCGUGCGGGAAGAAGGCCUUCGGGUUGUAAACCGCUUUUGUUCGGGAAGAAAUCCUCUGGGCUAAUACCCCGGGGGGAUGACGGUACCGGAAGAAUAAGCACCGGCUAACUACGUG
rnacentral:rRNA from 1 species